UUUAUGACUCUCGGCAACGGAUAUCUUGGCUCUUGCAUCGAUGAAGAACGCAGCGAAAUGCGAUAAGUGGUGUGAAUUGCAGAAUCCCGUGAAUCAUCGAGUUUUUGAACGCAAGUUGCGCCCAAGGCCAUCAGGUUAAGGGCACGCCUGCUUGGGCGUUGUGC
rnacentral:rRNA from 1 species